rfam:Brassica oleracea var. oleracea cultivar TO1000 chromosome C6, whole genome shotgun sequence
GGCCUGUGAUGUUCGAGAUUGUCCGUACCAUCUGAGAGAUUUCUCCUUGAUGAGUUUUAUCCUCUAUGUUCUGAGGCUA